GGAUCAGUACUAUUUGCGAAAGAAUCAUUCACGAACUGACUCGAUACGUUCAUGAAUCAGAGACCACUACCCAUAAUUCCAGAGACAAAAACAGGAAGCGAAAUAAGAAAUAGUUGCCUUGGAAGAAUAGGACUGAAAAUAUGUGUUUCAUAAGGGAGGGUGAUGCUCAAAGUUAACUUAAUGUACUCAAGGUCUAGCAAAAAUAGGAAGCAGACAGAUAACGUAAUGUUUUGACGUACUUGUACACAUGCAACAGUCCCUUUCCCCCUUUUCUCACUGUUUUCUGUCUCUCGUCGUCUUACAAGAAACGACCCGUUGCAGAUCUUCUGUCUAACUUCAUCCCAGAUGAUGAAGCUACUCUGUGUUAUCCCCCACUGUAGACACGGCUGCCUUGUGUGUGUUCUCACAGUCCUGUGUUUGACACUGUUGAUAUGCUCAUGGUGCACAGGGAGGGAAAGAGACACCUCGAAGGAAUGAAAUUGUUUUAUGGCAAAAAAAGAAUCACCUGUGACAUGAAAUGGAUAAGAGAUGACAUCAAGACGAUGUUAAAUCAGAAGAUGAUCAAAAGUGAAGGAUUGGAAUUGUCAGGAUGUGGCCUAGAAGACAGAAAAGAUCAAAUCAACAAUAUCAACUCAUACGUCCGUUAGGACAGGAAGUAUUGACUCCAUAGCAACAACUAGUACAACAGGGACAGACUAAAGAAAAAGGAGAGACAAAGAAGAGGAAGAACGGAUCCAGCACUGAAUGUGAGCCUCAAACAGAUUAGAGAUGCAAUACAUUUAAACUGAACUGCGUGCGAGUUGACGAUAUUGUCUCUAGUCACAGCUCCCAUAUAUCAUCUCUGUGACCUACUUUACACACAAUAAGGUCAAAACUUUAAGACAUUCUUUCUGGAAAAGAGUUUUUGCUGUUGAAUUUUGCAAACUGUAUUAGUACUAUGUACUUGCCAUCUCGUUUAAACAAUUUCUGAACCAACAGAGGUUGUUUUAUAAUUUUU